rnacentral:rRNA from 1 species
UACGUAGGGUGCGAGCGUUAAUCGGAAUUACUGGGCGUAAAGUGUGCGCAGGCGGCAAAGCAAGUCGGGUGUGAAAUCCCCGGGCUUAACCUGGGAACUGCACUUGAAACUACGAUGCUGGAGUAUGGCAGAGGGAGGUGGAACUCCACGUGUAGCGGUGAAAUGCGUAGAGAUGUGGAGGAACACCGAUGGCGAAGGCAGCCUCCUGGGCCAAUACUGACGCUCAUGCACGAAAGCGUGGGGAGCAAACAGG